rnacentral:rRNA from 1 species
GCGCAGCAGACGCGAAUUUUCUCAAUGGGGCAACCCUGAAGGAGCGACGCCGCGUGGAGGAUGAAGGCUUUCGGGUCGUAAACUCCUGUCAUUUGAGAACAAGUGCCAACACCUAACUACUGUUGGCUUGAUAGUAUCAGAAGAGGAAGGGACUGCUAACUCUGUGCCAGCAGCCGCGGUAAUACAGAGGUCCCAAGCGUUGUUCGGAUUCAUUGGGCGUAAAGGGUGCGUAGGUGGCGCCGUAAGUGGGGUGUGAAAUUCCGGAGCUUAACUCCGAAACUGCAUUCCAUACUGCGGUGCUUGAGGACUGGAGAGGAGACUGGAAUUUACGGUGUAGCAGUGAAAUGCGUAGAGAUCGUAAGGAAGACCAGUGGCGAAGGCGGGUCUCUGGACAGUUCCUGACACUGAGGCACGAAGGCCAGGGGAGCGAACGGGAUUAGAUACCCGUGUAGU